rnacentral:rRNA from 1 species
AUGGCCGGGGUAGAGCUCGCGCGCGCCAACGCGUCCUGCUCGCCGAGCUCCGCCCGACCUGCGUGCCCGUGCCCGCCACCGCCACCAUCUUCGGCUUAUCCCCACGGAGCGCAAGAAACGUCGUCGCCAGCCUCUGCGUCUACGCCGCCAUCUGCCGCAAGGAGGGCCUCAUGCUGCGCUGGCCAGGACCCCGUGUCGCCUGGGAGGGCUUCAGCGACGCCUCCGAUGCGGAGCUCGUCGCCGAGCACGCACUCUGGGCGCCAUGGAGCCCAAUGGCAAGAACAAACCCUUCAACGGCAGCAACGGGGACCUCUUCAAGUGGUAGCAGCUAUGGCCUAUCCUCGCCAAUCAAUGCAGCGUGAAGUGGACGGGGUACCAGGGGGAGGACCAGCGCUUCAUGCUGGAGGAAGCCAUGGUCGGGAAGGAUGCGGCGGGCAGGCGAAGCGCGCGCGAGCACGAGAGGGCACGGGAAGCUGCGUGCGAGCGGGCAUGGGAAGCUGCGGGCGAGCGUUCACGGGAAGCGGGCGAGCGGGCACGAGCAUGCUCCCGGGCGUCACCUGCAGCGCCUGGAGGCAGAUGGAGCUUGGCAACUGGCGGAGGAGCUUGUCGCCUGGAGCGCCCACAGGCUGUUCGUCAAAAUGA